CUAUAGUCUUGUGUCUUUGUAUUGUUAAAUUGAGGAUCUAAAUCGGAGUCUAGUUCUUAUCACUGAAACCCCAGAUUCUAGUUUAUGGCUUUCAGCUCCUUUAUGAUACUAAAACUUUAAGAGGAUGUCACUGAACUUCACUUUAAGAACUACUGAUCUGUCCCUGGCCUUGUUUGAAGUGUGUAGUCUAGGUUGACUAUUUUACACAGCAUGCACUACCCUCACAUCCACUAUUACAUCUUUUUUCUUUUAAGAAGGAUAAAUGUUGAAGAGAAAAAUAUAAUUUACUGCAUGAAGUCACAAAGGUUCCAAUAAUCUGCACUACGUUCAGUCAAGUUUUAGAUUUAGUCUCUUAUUUGAUGUCUGAGAUUGAAAGGACAAAUCAAACAUCUGCAGCCCACAAAUCUCAUCCAGCUUCUCGUGAAAUUUUACUCGUUUUUUGCUGAUAUAUUAUGCUGGCAGCUGAAGCUUGAUCUGCAUCUUCCUGAACUUUGCUUUAUUUAUAGCCGUCCACUUAGAGAUUGUGAAGUUCUGUCAAGACCAAAGUUAUUCGGCAAAGUAACACCGAGAGAGUAGGAAAAAGCUUCAGGCUGAAUGAUGAUGCCACAGAGACGCUAGAGCUAGAAGAUAAGCAUAUGCUUUGGCUAAACCCCAUUGGAAAACAUGGUAGUUGGUUGAAUGACAUUUAGUGAAAGGACCAAGGUGGUUGUGAUGCUUUAUUAAAAUAUAUUCAAGAGGAAUGUUGGGUGUGAGAGACAAUAAGCAAGUUAAAAUCCCAUCGAAGGGUGCACGACUACAAGCUAGUCGAUAUAUCUGGAAAAGGAUAGUAUAGCUCUCAUUAGGAGCAAAGAAAGAUGCAACUGAUAUUCGUGGCUUGACAAGCGGGGUAGCUAGCACUCUAUGUUCCACACUAUUGAACUUGU
rnacentral:lncRNA from 1 species